CAUAUGCUUGUCUCAAAGAUUAAGCCAUGCAUGUCUAAGUCCAAGCUGUGUUCACACGGCGAGACCGCGGACGGCUCAUUAAAUCAGUCGUGGUCCAAAUGGGCCAGUGCAAAUCCUACUUGGAUAACUGUGGUAAUUCCAGAGCUAAUACAUGCAACUGAUAUCCCGAAGGCGGUGUUGGGGCUUGCUUGCCUUGCGCUGCGCUGCUCUGACGGAUGCUUUUAUUAGACCAAGCCGCUGAGGACUUGAGGGUUCGCGCUCUCUUGUUUGACUCGUGUGAUGGUGACUCUGGAUAACCAAAUUCUGACAAGCGCACGUACUUCUCUUCUGAGCGAGACGGCGCUGCCACUUUCGAGUGUCUGCCUUAUCAGCUAUCAACCGUUCGUUAUGCGCGACCGAUGGCUUUGACGGGUAACGGGGAAUCAGGGUUCGAUUCCGGAGAGGCAGCCUGAGAGACGGCUACCACGUCCAAGGACGGCAGCAGGCACGCAAAUUACCCAAUCCCAGCAAAUGGGGGAGGUAGUGACGAAAUCUAACGAUGCGGGCGCCCUUUCUGGGGCCCCGCAAUCGGAAUGGGCACUUUCUAAACAACCUGUUGAGAACCUACUGAAG
rnacentral:rRNA from 1 species